rnacentral:lncRNA from 1 species
UCGUGUUCUAAAUUUGCAAGGCAAACUAAUCUCAUUGUCAAAUAUGAAUUCGUCGUUAAACUUCGUAGAAUCUUAUUCGCAAGUAUUAAUGGUCACGAUUUUUCUGAACGAGUAGGGCGUGUUGUUGGAGUAUAUAAAAGAACUGUAAGCAUCCAGCAUCUCUUCAUUACGAAAGUGUAUUUCUUAUAACGUACAAGUUCUAAUACUUUUUCAAAUAGAAAAUAUUUCCUCGAGGAUAAAUAAUCGUUUUGAAUAAAAAAAGGAAAAAGAAGAAUUAAUUAUUUGUUAAAUCUACCGUGCAUCACAAUAAUUGGGGAGAUAUUUGAAAUAAAAAGUUCAUUGAUAUCAGGUCAAUAGUGUCUCGAAAUUAUCGAAGUGAGAACAGUAGUGCAUAAAUUGGAGCAGUAAUUAAUUUAAAAA